rnacentral:rRNA from 1 species
CAGCCGCCGCGGGAAUACGAAGGGUGCAAGCGUUAAUCGGAAUUACUGGGCGUAAAGCGUGCGUAGGCGGUUUGUUAAGUCUGUUGUGAAAUCCCCGGGCUUAACCUGGGAAUGGCAAUGGAUACUGGCAAGCUAGAGUGUGUCAGAGGAUGGUGGAAUUCCCGGUGUAGCGGUGAAAUGCGUAGAGAUCGGGAGGAACAUCAGUGGCGAAGGCGGCCAUCUGGGACAACACUGACGCUGAGGCGCGAAAGCGUGGGGAGCAAACAGGAUUAGAUACCCCGGUAGUCCCUGUCUCUUAUAC